UGUUGGUGCGAGCUCUCUGGC
rnacentral:misc_RNA from 1 species